AAGUCCACGUCUUUUGGCAUCGGCAGCAGCAGGCCGCAGGCAACAGCGUCCUGGCUCAAUGACAGCAGCAACGACAUUCUGGCGGCGCGCUGGUCGGACCUGGAGCAGAUGGUGGCCUAAGCUAAUACCCGUAAUACACAUUCACGCUUACAUUUCUAGCUACAGAAAUUACAGUUGUACCCGUAUAUAUAAAUGUGAGAAAAGAGUUAUGGAAUUGAUCGAUUUUUUCGAACUUGUUCUGCCUCGGGGGGAUAACAAUAUGUUGAGAUAAGAAUCAUGGUGUCUUUGAAUUAUCCAAAUUAUUCGUGCAAUCAACUUUACACGUACCAGCAGAUGUUGACAGGAGGGAGACUUUUCCUUUGUCUUGGAUGAGCCGGGUGCGGAAUUGAAUGGUAGUAGUGGACUAGUGGCCUAGUGGGUGAUGUAUCGCCAUCAAUGAUUUAAGACCAUACGGAUCCAAUAAUUAACGUUCCUCGUUAUAAAUCCCGAAUAAUUAAUCUCCCGUUCUUGCCGAACGGAACGUUCUUCAGCCAAUUAAGCACCAUGACAUCCAUCCUUUUCCUUUUCUAGAGACGCAAACCGCCGCACGAUGGUCGCACCGUUGUCAGAUCUAGCCACCAGAUAAAACAACCUAAACAAAGGAAAACAGAUUACAACCAGAAGAAUUCCAGGAUAAAUCGUCCCGGAUCGGGGCAGCCCAUACGAAUUAUUUAAUUCAGAUUUGUUACGGCUCAGUCGUCUGAGAUGGACGGUCAUGCCGUAAAUUCAGAAUUUCAGAUUAGUGCUCCGUAUUAAUUUAGUUUUCCUUAAAAAAACAUGAGUUAUCGCAAUUUGCAAGAUGACAUUUGAGCAGCUGCCCGCGGCCAUGGAGUUGCCACGUUCCCCGGGUGCUCUCUUGCCGUCCGCAACGAGGGGGAGAAAACGAGCGGUGCUCGCGGGGCUCCCCAGCUCCGGCACCUUCCUUCCUCCCCGCGCCUUCGUCCGUUAAUUCGACGCACGCGGCACGCUCCGGCCAGGCAUGCCUGCAAUCGCCCGCCCCGCCUCCGCGUCUCCUUCUUUUAAAGGCAAAGCGGAGGAGAGAAGGGUCGGAGAAGAAGAAGCCAUAAGCCAGCCAGCAGGGACGCCGGGAAGAGGGGGGUUGAGAAGCUGCCGCCGCGCACUUCGCCCCAAGCCCCCUCCUCCUCCUCCUCCUUCCCCACGCUUGCGCCGGCGGGCCGUCCAUCGCAGGCAAGCCGUAGAUCGAACAGAGGCCGGUUUAUCUGCCUGCCUGCUGCCAUGGGACGGAGGUGCUCCGCCCGCACGACCCCCUGGCCCGCCACCACGCCUCCACGAAGCGCUCGUCCCCGCGCCCGUCGGCGGCGGCGAGGCGCCACCAUGCCGGCGGAGCCGCGCGGCGCGGACAGGCGGCGGGGGCGGCGGCGUCCCCUGUGCUGCCGCGCGUCAAGGUGGCCGCCGCCGCCGCGGAGGCCGCGUACGCCGGGCCGGCGUUCGGGGCCAUGUCGCCGUCCCCGCGGGCGCUGCCGCUGCCGCGCUUCUCCUCCAAGGCGGCGGCGGCGGCGGCGGCCACCGUGGACGACUCCGCCACGCGGGAGCUCCGGCGGCUGCUGGGUCUCGAGCGAUUCACGACGAAUUGAUCAACUAACCCACGCCCCCAGCGAGCGAGCAAUUAAAUUCAGUUAAGCAGGCCACGGAUUCAGCAAAAAAAGAAGGGGUAUCAAGAAUCAAGAUGUGUUACGUAUGGGUCUCUACUUCUCUUCCCUUGAUUCUUUUCUGGUCGAUCUCCAAUGGCGCGUCCCCGGGCAUGGCCGCG
rnacentral:lncRNA from 1 species